CCCCCUGGCGGGCCGGUAACGCGGCCUUUCCUUCGGGACAGGGGAGACAGGUGGUGCAUGGUUGUCGUCAGCUCGUGUCGUGAGAUGUUGGGUUAAGUCCCGCAACGAGCGCAACCCUUAUCCUUAGUAGCCAGCACGUGAAGGUGGGCACUCUAGGGAGACUGCCAGGGAUAACCUGGAGGAAGGUGGGGAUGACGUCAAAUCAUCAUGCCCCUUAUGAUUUGGGCUACACACGUGCUACAAUGGCGUAAACAAAGGGAAGCGAGACAGUGAUGCGGAGCAAAUCCCAAAAAUAACGUCCCAGUUCGGACUGUAGUCUGCAACCCGACUACACGAAGCUGGAAUCGCUAGUAAUCGCGAAUCAGAAUGUCGCGGUGAAUACGUUCCCGGGUCUUGUACACACCGCCCGUCACACCAUGGGAGUCAGCAACGCCCGAAGUCAGUGACCCAACCGAAAGGAGGGAGCUGCCGAAGGCGGGGCAGGUAACUGGGGUGAAGUCGUAACAAGGUAGCCGUAUCGGAAGGUGCGGCUGGAUCACCUCCUUUCUAAGGAA
rnacentral:rRNA from 1 species